GAUCAUGGCUCAGGAUGAACGCUAGCUACAGGCCUAACACAUGCAAGUCGAGGGGCAGCAUGGUCUUAGCUUGCUAAGACUGAUGGCGACCGGCGCACGGGUGAGUAACACGUAUCCAACCUGCCGUCUACUCUUGGACAGCCUUCUGAAAAGGAAGAUUAAUACAAGAUGGCAUCAUGAGUCCGCAUGUUCACAUGAUUAAAGGUAUUCCGGUAGACGAG
rnacentral:rRNA from 1 species